rnacentral:rRNA from 1 species
GAUGAACGCUGGCGGCGUGCCUAACACAUGCAAGUCGAACGAACCUGAUCUUCGGAAAAGGUUAGUGGCGCACGGGUGAGUAACACGUAGGUGACCUGCCCUGGAGUGGGGGAUAACUUCUCGAACGAGAGGCUAAUACCGCAUACGCUCGGCCAUUCAGUUGGUCGAGGAAAGUUCCGGCGCUCCAGGAGGGGCCUGCGUCCGAUUAGCUAGUUGGUGAGGUAAUGGCUCACCAAGGCGAUGAUCGGUAGCUGGUCUGAGAGGACGAUCAGCCACACUGGCACUGACACACGGGCCAGACUCCUACGGGAGGCAGCAGUGAGGAAUAUUGGUCAAUGGGCGAAAGCCUGAACCAGCAACGCCGCGUGAGGGAUGAAGGCCUUCGGGUCGUAAACCUCUUUUCUGGGAGAAGAGACAAGGACGGUAUCCCAGGAAUAAGUCUCGGCUAACUACGUGCCAGCCGCCGCGGUAACAC